GACGAACGCUGGCGGCGUGCUUAACACAUGCAAGUCGAACGCUGAAGCCCAGCUUGCUGGGUGGAUGAGUGGCGAACGGGUGAGUAACACGUGAGUAACCUGCCCCCUUCUUUGGGAUAACGCCCGGAAACGGGUGCUAAUACUGGAUAUUCACUGGCCUUCGCAUGGGGGUUGGUGGAAAGGUUUUUUCUGGUGGGGGAUGGGCUCGCGGCCUAUCAGCUUGUUGGUGGGGUGAUGGCCUACCAAGGCUUUGACGGGUAGCCGGCCUGAGAGGGUGACCGGUCACAUUGGGACUGAGAUACGGCCCAGACUCCUACGGGAGGCAGCAGUGGGGAAUAUUGCACAAUGGGCGAAAGCCUGAUGCAGCGACGCCGCGUGAGGGAUGACGGCCUUCGGGUUGUAAACCUCUUUCGCUCAUGGUCAAGCCGCAGCUUUGGGUUGUGGUGAGGGUAGUGGGUAAAGAAGCGCCGGCUAACUACGUGUCAGCAGCCGCGGUAAUACGUAGGGCGCGAGCGUUGUCCGGAAUUAUUGGGCGUAAAGGGCUUGUAGGCGGUUGGUCGCGUCUGCCGUGAAAUCCUCUGGCUUAACUGGGGGCGUGCGGUGGGUACGGGCUGACUUGAGUGCGGUAGGGGAGACUGGAACUCCUGGUGUAGCGGUGGAAUGCGCAGAUAUCAGGAAGAACACCGGUGGCGAAGGCGGGUCUCUGGGCCGUUACUGACGCUGAGGAGCGAAAGCGUGGGGAGCGAACAGG
rnacentral:rRNA from 1 species